GACGAACGCUGGCGGCGUGCCUAAUACAUGCAAGUUGAGCGCUGAAGGUUGGUACUUGUACCAACUGGAUGAGCAGCGCACGGGUGAGUAACGCGUGGGGAAUCUGCCUUUGAGCGGGGGACAACAUUUGGAAACGAAUGCUAAUACCGCAUAAAAACUUUAAACACAAGUUUUAAGUUUGAAAGAUGCAAUUGCAUCACUCAAAGAUGAUCCCGCGUUGUAUUAGCUAGUUGGUGAGGUAAAGGCUCACCAAGGCGAUGAUACAUAGCCGACCUGAGAGGGUGAUCGGCCACAUUGGGACUGAGACACGGCCCAAACUCCUACGGGAGGCAGCAGGAGGGAAUCUUCGGCAAUGGACGAAAGUCUGACCGAGCAACGCCGCGUGAGUGAAGAAGGUUGUCGGAUCGUAAAACUCGGUUGGUAGAGAAGAACGUUGGUGAGAGUGGAAAGCUCAUCAAGUGACGGUAACUACCCAGAAAGGGACGGCUAACUACGUG
rnacentral:rRNA from 1 species